rnacentral:rRNA from 1 species
UGGGGAAUAUUGCACAAUGGAGGGAACUCUGAUGCAGCGACGCCGCGUGAGUGAUGAAGGCAUUCGUUUCGUAAAACUCUGUUCUAUGGGAAGAAAAGGACUGUACCAUAGGAGAAAGCUCCGGCUAAAUACGUGCCAGCAGCCGCGGUAAUACGUAUGGAGCGAGCGUUGUCCGGAAUUAUUGGGCGUAAAGGGUGCGCAGGCGGCUUUACAAGUUGGAUGUGAAAUAUUGUGGCUCAACCACAAACGUGCAUCCAAAACUGCAAAGGUUGAGUUAAGGAGAGGUAAGUGGAAUUCCUGGUGUAGCGGUGGAAUGCGUAGAUAUCAGUAGGAAUACCGGUGGCGAAGGCGGCUUACUGGACUGAAACUGACGAUCAGGCACGAAAGCGUGGGGAGCAAACAGG